rnacentral:rRNA from 1 species
AUUUUUCUGCAAUGGGCGAAAGCCUGACGGAGCAACGCCGCGUGAGGGAGGAAGGCCCUUGGGUUGUAAACCUCUUUUAAUAGGGAAGAAGCUCUGACGGUACCUAUUGAAUAAGCCUCGGCUAACUCCGUGCCAGCAGCCGCGGUAAUACGGAGGAUGCAAGCGUUAUCCGGAAUCAUUGGGCGUAAAGCGUCCGCAGGUGGCGUAUCAAGUCUGCUGUCAAAGACAGAAGCUCAACUUCUGGCAGGCAGUGGAAACUGGUAAGCUAGAGUACGGUAGGGGUUGAGGGAAUUCCCAGUGUAGCGGUGAAAUGCGUAGAUAUUGGGAAGAACACCAGUGGCGAAGGCGCUCAGCUGGGCCGUAACUGACA